GGUCAGAAUCAGGUAUGACUUGAGUUUGUUCUGGGACUGGUCGGUUAAUAACUUUUCCACUUCGCAAAGUUAUUAUACUCUUCGCUUGUUCUUUAUGCGAAGUUGAGGAUGAUGCAUUGUUACCGCCGUAGACUUGAGGGUUAGUUUGUGGUUGAGCUGGUAGCUUACCCUUCUCUUGAGAACUUAAAGCAGUAGUCAACGUUGUCAGUUGAUUUCUUAUUUCAUCAUUGAUUUUGGCUUGACCUUGCAUGAAAGAUUGCAAAGUUUCUUCGAGACUAGGUUUUUGAGGGAGUGUGUGUGCAUACUGAGGUUGCGGAGGUGGAGUUGGGUUAUAUACUUGUUGAGGUUGGUCAUUCCUCUACCUAAAAUUUGGAUGGUUCUUCCAUUCAGGGUUGUAAGUACCCAAAAAAGGAUUAUUAAAAAAAUUUUAAUAUGUAUUCAUAACAUUGGCCUGAUCGUGCAAGACUUCCUUGAAUGUGGGUAUUGUGGGGCAAUCAGUGAUGAGAUGGCCAGGCAUCUCACAAAUCCUACAACACUCGCUGUUAUGUUCUACGGUCUUGAUGGGUUCAAUCCUUCUAAGUUCAAUUUUCUCUACCUUCUUAGUAAGGGCUGCCAUUUCAGCCUGAAUAUCAUUCUGAGUACUAAGGUUAGGCAAAGGUUUAUUCACUCUAUCCUCUCUGUAUCCCAUAAGUGUGCAGUCUCUGCAAGAGAGUCUAAAUAGUCCCAUGCCUCAUCGGGUUGUUUUUCCAAAAAUAGACUAUUGCACAGUCUCUAUAAAUUGUUUUAACUGUGGAGACAACCCUUCGUAAAA
rnacentral:lncRNA from 1 species